rnacentral:misc_RNA from 1 species
AAGUCGUAACAAGGUUUCCGCAGGUGAACCUGCGGAAGGAUCAUUAACACUCAAUGUGCUCGUACACUUUGUCAAAGCGAGGCAAUCCCUGGUAAAUCAUCGCCGAACAGUUUUGAUUCUGGGACUUCCUCAAAGAGUGUGCAUGUUGCGCGAGGCAAGUGGCCUGGCAUUCCCAAGCAGUUAAUGUCUGAAAGUGUCAUUUGCUGUGUAAGGAUGACGCAGUAACGAUCGUUGGAGGCCGACACGGCCGACGACCGGGUCACCGGGCGCAAGCCCCUUUAUCACCACUUGAUGCAUGACAGACGCGCCAGCGCUUAAUUGUGCGGCGACCAAAAACCGAACAACUGUUAACAAUGGAUAUCUUGGUUCUC